GUGUGCGCGAGUCAUUGGGCGUGAACCAUCGGCGCAAUCAAGGUGAAGGGAACUUCGGUUCUCCAGGGAGGAUGGGGGUCGCCGCGCGCUCUCGGGCGCGCGGUCCCUCGCACUCCCGCGGCGUCUCGUUCUCAUUGCGAGUUGAGGCGGACCUUGAGCGUUCACGUUGGGACCCGAAAGAUGGUGAACUAUGCCUGGCCAGGACGAAGCCAGGGGAAACCCUGGUGGAGGUCCGUAGCGGUUCUGACGUGCAAAUCGAUCGUCGGAGCUGGGUAUAGGGGCGAAAGACUAAUCGAACCAUCUAGUAGCUGGUUCCCUCCGAAGUUUCCCUCAGGAUAGCUGUUGCCCCAGUGAGACGAGUCUCAUCUGGUAAAGCGAAUGAUUAGAGGCCUUGGGGUCGAAACGACCUCAACCUAUUCUCAAACUUUAAAUGGAUGAGAACCCCGACUUGCUUGACAAGAGUGAAGUCGGGGCUCGGAUCGUGGUGACAAGUGGGCCAUUUUUGGUAAGCAGACGGGGCCC
rnacentral:rRNA from 1 species